AAAUGGACAAAAUCUGUAAAAGGGUUGGAUCCGACGCCUCUAGAAGGCUACUAUAGGCUCUCCUUCUCAACUCCUACUCAA
rnacentral:ribozyme from 1 species